GUCAGUGGUACAAAUGAUAAAUGUGCUUGGCUGCUAACCAAAAGGUUGGAAGUUCAAGUCUACCCAGUGGUA
rnacentral:tRNA from 1 species